CCUCCUUAACGAAAGAUGUGUUUUCAACGCCCACACGAGUAAUCAAAUAUUUAAGUUCUUAGAUAUGUAAAAUAAAUGGUAUGUAAUUUUCUAGUGUAUACAUUUUUGUAUACAUGAGAUCACUGCAAAUUAAAAAGUAAUUAAUAUAUUUUAUUAAGUACUCUCAAAAUGUUAAUAAAUAACCUUUUUAAGGUUAUAUGAUCAAGUAAAGGAAGAGCACAAGGCGGAUGCCUUGGCAGCAUAAGGCGAUGAAGGACGUAGUAACCUGCGAUAAGCCUCGGGAAGUUGGUAAACAAAUUUUGAUCCGAGGAUUUCCGAAUGGGGA
rnacentral:misc_RNA from 1 species